rnacentral:rRNA from 1 species
AUGAACGCUGGCGGCGUGCCUAAUACAUGCAAGUCGAGCGAACAGACGAGGAGCUUGCUCCUCUGACGUUAGCGGCGGACGGGUGAGUAACACGUGGAUAACCUACCUAUAAGACUGGGAUAACUUCGGGAAACCGGAGCUAAUACCGGAUAAUAUAUUGAACCGCAUGGUUCAAUAAUGAAAGACGGUUUUGCUGUCACUUAUAGAUGGAUCCGCGCCGCAUUAGCUAGUUGGUAAGGUAACGGCUUACCAAGGCAACGAUGCGUAGCCGACCUGAGAGGGUGAUCGGCCACACUGGAACUGAGACACGGUCCAGACUCCUACGGGAGGCAGCAGUAGGGAAUCUUCCGCAAUGGGCGAAAGCCUGACGGAGCAACGCCGCGUGAGUGAUGAAGGUCUUCGGAUCGUAAAACUCUGUUAUUAGGGAAGAACAAAUGUGUAAGUAACUAUGCACGUCUUGACGGUACCUAAUCAGAAAGCCACGGCUAACUACGUG